GGUACCUUCAGGAAUUAAUUAAUGAAAAAGAAAAUUAUGGACUGAAAUUAAUAUUUACCGCUGUUACCCCUUCUUACGCAGUAAAAACAUACUGAAGUGAAAGUAGGUGGUCAUAGUAAGCUGAAAUAAAUCUCACCGUCCUACAACAGGCCGGAUGUAUCAGGGGAAAUAGCGUGCCCUUACCGGACACGCAGAAGGAAAUCCCAAGACGCUAUUGGUCGAGAAAAACCGAAUUUCGAUUACAUCGAGUCAGCAGUAAUUUCAAGGACCAGAAUCGUACUGGAAAUUUUACAUUUCGAUAUUGAAAUACUGGUUCACGUGAAAAUGAGGCAGGAAGCAUGACGCAUAACCCAAUUGAUGCAGAAUUUUUUGCUAGUGCACUUCUGGUUUCAACGGAAUUACCCUAAAAGCUUUGAAUUUACAUUGGCGUCUGUAUAUUUUUGCAGACCUUGAAUAUUUCCCCUUCGUAAAUACUUAUUAGUUAAGUGGAAACAAUUUGAAAAAAAAGGGAAAUAAAUCACUUCACAAUACCCUAUAGAACUUCCAAACGAAACGUGGUUUACUGACAAAGUUAUAAAGGUUAAAGUUAUUUUUCCUUGGUCCACCAGU